GCGUGGCGACCUCCACCCCUGCUCGUCUGAAACAACCGAGAGCGAGGAGCUGUGCGUCCUAGCUAGGGUUCCACCCUGCCGUCCUCCGUCCCCGGCCUGCCGCCCCCAAAUCUGCGAGCAACGAUGGCAACGGCGCGCGCUCGCCCCGCCCUACACCACCCUCACCGCCAAGACCCCGCCACGACUACUGGUAGCCAGCAGCUCGAGAUCGAGGUCACCACGGAGAACCCCCCACCGGCGCAUCACAGCCGACUGCGGCGGCUGGGGCGACCCCAAGCAGGAGGCGGCGGCUAGCGAGGAUGGCGGCUAAGGGGAGAAGGGGCCGAUGUUUGCUGAUCUUGGAGGGAAGGAGGCGGUGCUUGGCGAGCUGAUGGAUCCUGAGGACAUUCAGGCAUGAGGAUAGCGCCUCCCACCUCUCAUUUUUCAAUAUGCGCUCCUGUCUGUAUCUCAUAUGCUCUCCUAUCUGUAUCUCUUUCUGAUUUUUUUCCAAUACGUUGUAGCGGUUUGAGGCAGGAGCAGGGAUGACGACUAGAACAGAGCAGUACCGGAGAAUUCCAGGCAGGCAGAGAUUCACCUUGCAUGAUGAUUCAUCGAAGAUUAUGUGUUCAUACCUGCCAUUCUGCUUGAAACCCCUGCUCUUCUGGAUAGCAGAUGUGAUGCAGUUAAACGGAGCCAUGAACAUCACUAGAUCCUUUGUAUGUUCCCCCUAAAUGGUACUGUAGAUUAUAAGGGCCAUCUAACUGUUGUUGUUUUAUGCAUGGCUUCGGACUCAACAUUGUUUUCUACAACUGAGCGGCGGUUUGAGGCAGGAUCAGCGAUGACGACAAGAACAGAGCAGUACCCGAGAAUAUUCACCUUCCAUGAUGACUCAUAUUGCAGUUCAGAAUUUCACACGAGUUAGAUGCACCAUGAUUUAGUUGUGAAGUUCCGAGGUACUAUAGAGUGAGGUCAUUCGACGAGGAGUGUCAAAGCUUAACUAGGCGUUUUGAAAGUCAGGCGUACUACAAGUUAGCGCGGUCUAUGGCUUUCUCUUAAAUUGGUAGUUGUGUCUCAAUGCAAGUGACAGCGUGGUGUUUCAUCCAAUUAGCGGUUAUUUAUUUGUCUGGGUUUCCUUUUCUGGAGAAAAUCUAAAGUGCCCUUAUAUAUCCGAUGUUUCACAGUUUCCUCCUAGCACAGAAGAUGCUAUUUCAAAGUCUGGAGGGGGCCUGGUCCUUUUCUCAUCUUGGACUGCCGAUAGAGCUCGAGUGCACCUGUGAUUCUUUACAUUCUUCUUUGUACUGUCUCUCCAUUUCUAUACAGGUGUUUAACUUUGCGGAAGAGUUUCUCCUGCUUUUUACCUACUGGGUAUCAAUUAGGACACACAGAAAUUUUUGAAGCAAGUGCACAUAAUCACUGAAUGCUUGAAAAUUUUCAUGAGCCACCAGAUGUAAGGUGACUGGUUUUAGACCUUUAACAAUUAAGUGAAGGUAUGUUUCGUCUAUUCAAAUGUAAAAAACUUGGGCACGAUGUUGCUGAUCAUAUGGAGUAAGUUGUAUCUGUGACUUUGUAGAUCAUCUACUCCAUUUAUAAAGGGCAAUCUGAAAUGUUUCUGUCUUUCUCAUGAAGAAUGUUUUUGGAUUUUUUUUAUAGAUUUUAUGUAUUUUCCGCUGGAUUGGUAUAGUGAUAUAAAAGAACUUUAUCCAAAAGUUACAUUUAGUUAUCGGCCCUUACAUAUGUAUACUUCAUAUAAUGAAAUCAAAACCAACAGAUGAUUGUUGCUUAUUGUGGCCAUGAGUGAGCAUGUGAGGUU